ACUGUCGAAAAAGUUCAAAAGUAUCAUACUUUCGUAGUUUUUGUCAUUGGUAUUUUUUUCCCACAGUUUUCCAUCAUCUGCACAAGUGCGUUUAUAUUUCAGCCAUGCCGACUUUAAUUCAAUUUGAAAUAUUGUUUGGAUAAACGGUAAAGAGAACAACCAUUUCGAGUUUAAUGAAAAAGAAAAAAAAAAAAAAAAAUCGAUUUGAGGGUGGAGCGAAAACAAAAAACCCGAUCUCUCGGAGUUGACCUAAUCGCGUGUCACGCAGAUCGGAAAUCGGACCCAUAAAGACUCACCUCGCCAGUCGAUCGUGGUUGGAAAAAUCUCCAAGUGAUGCGAGGGUGAGCGAAUAUAUACCGUGGGCCUCAUUAGGAUUCAGGCUUACAGAGUCGUGGUGAUUGGUCGGUUGGUUCGACGACCUGGGGCCCCAGCAGCAGCAGCAGCAGCAACAGAAGUAGCAGCGGCAGCGGAAUCAGAAGCAGAAGGAGCGAGUCCAGCAGCAAAAUCGUUAUUUCCCCCCCAUAUUUGCAACAGCACCAAGAAAUUAUCUGGCAGCAAAAGCUGGUGACCAGUGUCUCGACGGUAGGAUCCUCGGAGUCUUUAAUCUUCGUCUCAACUGCAGCAACGAGAUUGACUCGUACUAGAAAUUCUUACAAUCGUUGAUCCCGUUCCUCGCACGUCGAGUUACUCUUAGUUAUAAUCAAAGGGUUCAGUAGUAUCGUUGGAAAAAGAAUUACGGCUGUGCAAAAGGAGAAAGAAAAGAAAGGAAGGAAACAAGAGUAAAAAAAAAGAAAGAGAAAAAAAACUGGUUUACCGCAAAUUCAAAGACUAUACGGCAGUAUGCUGCUGUACACCGCGCUACAGGAUGCACUUCGAUAAGGAGGUAUAACUGCAGUUUUUUCAUUGCCAUUAUACUGUUACAAAAGAUACAAAGAAUUUUAGCCAUCGCCACAAGAGCUGGGAAACAAAGGUAUUUGGUUCACGUGCACGAAUCAGCAUAAUCCCUGCAGGUGGAGAAUAUCGCCAAUUUGUUACAGCGGGUAAUCCAAAUCGUUGCAUUACCGUUCACAAUAACAUACUUAUAUGGGAUUGACCUGGAUAUCGAACGCUCGAUGGUAUUACCGAUCGGCUGAAUAUUCUGAUCGUUAUUAAUUAAUUAUUGAUAUUUGAUGAACUUCCUCGUUAGUGUAAAACCAUCAAACGGGUCACCCAUUGCCUGAAGGUGCAAUGUGAUGCACUUGUGACUUUUUAUUUUUAGGUAUUCUUGAUUUCUGCUUAGCGAGCUCGCGAGAAAACAUGCUUCUGACUCUUUGCGAUGAAGCUCAAUGUUUGCCAAGUGCAAAUAACGAUUCGUGCGAAUAACGUAUUUGCAUGUUUUUUUCCCGCAAAUCGAAUCGAUAUCACGCGAUUUUUAAUACUUGAGCUAAUUUUUAUUCAUUGAAAUUCGAAAAAACCGUACAGAGCAUAGCAGAGUGAAUAUUUUAUUCGUACACCUACGGAUUUGUGCGAAAAGAGCAGAGACGGAGGAACUGCAGUAUUAGUUAUAUGUUUCGCGGUGAGACGUUGACUAAUUCAAUUCAUUGAGAUUCAAAAGCCGUUCGUUGUUUGUCGUGCAUGAUACGAAACGAUGAAGAUUCAAGGGACUAGUUGAACUUAUGCAGUUGAUUAAGCUAUAUGACGGAGUGUGUUUUUUUUUUUUUUAUUCGUUUAUUUUUGUCUUCCUGCUCGGAUAACUUGUUAUUCAUGCGACAGUGACUCAAAUUGGAAUGCGCGAACUGCGAUGCAGACGAAAUAUAGGUAUAAUUCGCGGAAACAUACAGUCCUAUACGGCAUAGUAGGUGGUAUUUCGCUAGAACUAAAAAGAUUUUCCCUCGAUUCUUAUACGAGACAACUAUAUUUUCAUCCUCGAUUUUUCAUACCCGCCCAUCGUCUCGAUCCUUGAGAACAACUUCUAUCCGUUUUCGAUGAGCAAUACGAAACAGGUGAGAUGCUGCAAUUCCCGGACACGUGUGAAAUUCUAUUGAUUCUCCCAAGGAAUUCCAUAACUCGAGUUUCCUCAUUAUCUUGCUAAGAAUCUUUGGAGGGAAUUCUUCAGUCGAGAGUACAAGACGUGUACACCGUUUGUCAUUUCAGCCAGAGGUGAAAACCAUCCACAUAUACGACACAGGCUGCAAUUACGUGAGAUACGGUUGAAACUCUUGGCGAUAUUCGGCUCUGCAAACGAAACAGGAAAUCGAAUGUGUGCAGUAAUCUGCUGCACUUAUGCACGAGUUAUACCGAAGUUUUAUUUGCAUUCGGUUUAAUCGUUGAGGGCUUGCCAGGUUCGGAGGAUGGGGUCCGAUGUCAUUGACCUCGAGGUCAUCGAAGAUCGAAAACCCGAAAUGUUGCGAUUCCAGAGUAGGGAUAGGUGGAUCCACUCCGCAAUGAAAUGUGCAAGAAAACGAGGUGGGUAUGAACAAUUUAAAUAGGCCGUAGGUAAAAUUAUCAGACCCUCCGAAUUGUCGAGGGUUCGAGGUAUCUGUCAACCCCUCUAAAGUAGGUGGUUAUGGCCAUAUAUUCUACUACUCUCGAGCAAUACGAACAACUGUAAUACUAACCUGCUCGCCUGGCGUCCAUUGCUUUCGUUCUUCUAUUCCACAUCGAGAUUCAUUUUUAGAUAAGAGCUGAGAGGAUAAUUGAAAUCU
rnacentral:lncRNA from 1 species